AUCUGGUGCUCGGUGAGGUGAG
rnacentral:miRNA from 1 species